rnacentral:rRNA from 1 species
GACGAACGCUGGCGGCGUGCUUAACACAUGCAAGUCGAGCGGAGUGGCGAACGGGUGAGUAAUACGUGUGUAACCUGCCCUCCUUUUUGGGAUAAGCCUUGGAAACGGGGUCUAAUACCGAAUAAAGGGGGAUGGACUCGCGGCCUAUCAGCUUGUUGGUGGGGUGAUGGCCUACCGAGGCGGUGACGGGUGGCCGGCUUGGGAGGGUGACCGGGCGCAUUGGGACUAAGAUAAGGCCCAGACUACUACGGGGGGCAGCAGUGGGGGGUAUUGAACAAUGGGCGGAAGCCUGAUGCGGCGGAGCCGCGUGGGGGAUGAAGGCUUUCGGGUUGUAAACCUCUUUCGCGAGCGAAAGGGUAGGUGAAGAAGAAGCGCCGGCUAACUACGUGCCAGCAGCCGCGGUAAUAC